UUUGAAUGGGUGUUUUGUUCCAAAUUGUUAUAUUUGUUUUCAAAUGACACAUAUCCUCCUAACAGGUAUGUUUGCACCUGUUAGUGACUAUAAAUAUUCAGAGGUUGAACAUCAUUUCAACUACUGAAAAUCAGAAAUAAUAAUUACAAAAUAAAAAGCAGAUUGAUUUUCUUUCAUCUGCUGCACAAUUUUUUCUUCAAAGAAGUAACAGAAGAACAGGAUGAAAUGAAAGAAAUCCAAGGUUCAGUGGAGGAGCUCGAUCGAGCAGAGCAUUCACAUGGUCAAAGCUCUUGCUGCGCUCGAGAAAAACCCAUCUCUUACACCGCCAAUAAAGGCCAAGGUUUCGCAAAAGCAAUCUGAGGAAAAUCGCAUGGGGAAUGAACAUUUUGCUUCCUAUAUUCUGUUGGGGGAAUGGCUGGAAGACUCUUGUAUUUGUUUUGAUUGUCAUCUGGCUCCUCUAUUUUACGAAGUUUCGUUCGAACACCUCAACUCGAUUAAUAUACAAAAUUAGUUCAUGCUUAUUUUUACGGUAUGUGUAAGAUUUUGAUGACAUUAAAUGCAAAGCUUUCCCUAGCUUUCCGAAUUUGCAA